CAAUAAGCGGAGGAAAAGAAACCAACAGGGAUUGCCUCAGUAACGGCGAAGUGAAGCGGCAACAGCUCAAAUUUGAAAUCUGGUCCCCAGGGCCCGAGUUGUAAUUUGCAGAGGAUGCUUUUGGCAAGGUGCCUUCCGAGUUCCCUGGAACGGGACGCCAUAGAGGGUGAGAGCCCCGUCUGGUCGGACACCAAGCCUAUGUAAAGCUCCUUCGACGAGUCGAGUAGUUUGGGAAUGCUGCUCUAAAUGGGAGGUAUAUGUCUUCUAAAGCUAAAUACCGGCCAGAGACCGAUAGCGCACAAGUAGAGUGAUCGAAAGAUGAAAAGCACUUUGAAAAGAGAGUUAAACAGCACGUGAAAUUGUUGAAAGGGAAGCGUUUAUGACCAGACUUGGCCCGGUUGAUCAUCCAGCGUUCUCGCUGGUGCACUCUGCCGGUCCAGGCCAGCAUCAGUUCGCUGCGGGGGAUAAAGGUUUCGGGAAUGUGGCUCCCUCCGGGGAGUGUUAUAGCCCGUUGCGUAAUACCCUGCGGUGGACUGAGGUCCGCGCUUCUGCAAGGAUGCUGGCGUAAUGGUCAUCAACGACCCGUCUUGAAACACGGACCAAGGAGUCGUCUUCGUAUGCGAGUGUUCGGGUGUAAAACCCCUACGCGUAAUGAAAGUGAACGCAGGUGAGAGCUUCGGCGCAUCAUCGACCGAUCCUGAUGUUCUCGGAUGGAUUUGAGUAAGAGCAUACGGGGCCGGACCCGAAAGAAGGUGAACUAUGCCUGUAUAGGGUGAAGCCAGAGGAAACUCUGGUGGAGGCUCGCAGCGGUUUCUGACGUGCAAAUCGAUCGUCAAAUAUGGGCAUGGGGGCGAAAGACUAAUCGAACCUUCUAGUAGCUGGUUUCGCG
rnacentral:rRNA from 1 species